CCCGUCCCCACCCCCUCCAUUCGGGAACAUUCUUCAUUUCGCGCCUUUGGACAAAGCUGACCGUUAAGCUGGCAAUUUUUGGAUUAAGUGCAUCUUUGAGCUACGGACUUAUUUUCUGCAAUAAAGGUGUAUCCAUAAUUCCUUGCAAGUGGUUUACAGGACCAGCGGAAGAUUCUUGUUUCUGGCCACCAGGGAGAGUCAAUAUCAAUAAGGCUGUAAAGGAUGGAGUUACUCCAGAUGCAAACUGGUCACAGUACAGAGUUCGCAUCUUGGGGAAAGCUGAAAAAUACGAAAAUGCCAGGGUGAAACUGCGGAGGUCUGAAGCAACCUCUGAUCUGCAGACUGAGUCGGAUUCUGGAAGCAGAUUGGGAAAAGGGAAGCGGAAAAGGAGGCCAGUGAUCCAGUCAAGCUCAGAUGAGGAUUGGGACAACGCUGCGGAACAGCCAGAGAACUCAUCACCAUCAGCAAUGGAGAAUAGACAUUCAAGUGAAACUCCCCACCAGAACAUCACUCAUCCAUUUGUUCGGCUACCACCACCCUCAACUCCUUCACAAGCAGUUCCAAGACAACUUGUACAAGCCACCAAUACCAGCAUGUUUGUACAUGUUCUCUCUGGUUUGCAGCAUACUUGAAGACGUAGGAGGUCAAACAACCUGAUCAGCCCCACCUUCAAAACAACUCCAGUAGUAUUUCAAAUCUGAUGUUAUUUGUGAAAAAAUGCACUUUUUUUCCAAGACCAAUGGAUCAGUAAAUGAGUGAGAAGCUGUGUUUCAGUGCAUUUUGUUUUCUUUUAAACUGUAUAACAUUGAUUUGCUAUUGUUUUGUGUAUACUAGGGACCUUUUUUGUCAACUUGUUCUCUAAACAAAAAAAUUAUUUGUAUAGUAUAUUAAUCAGUAUUGUAAAAUAAAAAAGAAUAACU
ensembl:lncRNA